UUGGCAGGGCCUUGAGGGAGAGGGAACAAGGGGGGUUACUGUUCAACAGGUAGUUUCAGUUUGCAAGGUGACGACGUCCUGGAGCCCGGCUAUAAGACAUGACUAUACCUACCACCACCGCCCUGUACACUGAAAACUGGGCAUGAUGGUCAAUUUUAUACGAUGCGUUUUUUGUCCACAAUUGGAAAUUUUAAAAAUUUUCAAAAGUUGGGGAGGGGAGGGCUGGAAAGAUACCACACCUGACUCAAAGCUGCUGUGCCGUGCUCUGUCCUCCCACCUGGAGUGCAGGGGGAAGGUCAUGAGAAGACCGGAGUGAUGCUGCCACAAAAGCCAAGGAACCACCAGAGGCUGAAGAGGGGCCUGGAACAGAUCCUUCCCUGGAACCUUCCUAAGGAGCACAGCCCUGCUGACACCCUGAUCUCGGACUUCCAAUUUCCAGAACAGGGAGAAAUAAAUAAAUUUCUAUUGUUUAAGCCA